rnacentral:misc_RNA from 1 species
GAAAUGCGAUAAGUAAUGUGAAUUGCAGAAUUCAGUGAAUCAUCGAAUCUUUGAACGCACAUUGCGCCCGCCAGCAUUCUGGCGGGCAUGCCUGUUCGAGCGUCAUUUCAACCCUCAAGCACCGCUUGGCGUUGGGGCCCUACGGCUUCCGUAGGCCCCGAAAUACAGUGGCGGACCCUCCCGGAGCCUCCUUUGCGUAGUAACAUACCACCUCGCACUGGGAUCCGGAGGGACUCCUGCCGUAAAACCCCCCAAUUUUCCAAAGGUUGACCUCGGAUCAGGUAGGAAUACCCGCUGAACUUAA